UCCGAGUGGAGCCUUUCGAGACUGUUUGGAGACACUUCGGACCAUUCGGGGGAGUCUAUCGACCAAGGACCCACGUAUUCCGAUGCCGGGCCCAGGGCGUUCCGCAGUUUCACCAACUGGACGGCUUCACCGCUGAUGACUGGCUUUUUGACACACCUUUUGCAUGAUGUAUUACAUACAAUUAUGUAGAAAUUUGCAAUGUUCCAGUUUGUAAACCAAGUAGGAGACAUAAAUAGUGUUAUCAGGAUGGGAGAAGUUGGAUAAUAUUGGGCUUGCCUCCUCUAACAGGUGAUUUAGAAAGUUGAUACAACAUUAAAGAAUCCAAAUAUUUUGAUGUCACUGAAUUAUGUGGCAUCAUUUGUUUCCAUUCCCCAAAUUUAGAUUUGUUGCAUUUUUAUUAAACUCUAGUGCAGGAUUUAAAAGUUUCAGAAGAGGUUUUAUCGUUUUCAGCAUAAUUAAGGUCAGGGGUUAUCGAAUAUAAGCAAUCAAAACCACUUUGAUGGCUUGGUAAUGAGGUGUAAGUUUCAAAAAAUCGCAAAAUGAUGUAGUCUUGGAAGGGCUUAGAAUUAGCUGUUGAUCCAAUUUUGAUCUUAAAUUGCAUUUACCGUUCGGUCCACUAACAGCAGUCUGACGUAUUAAUAAAAACUCAAAUUCAGUUUAGCGGUUUGGCUACAUUUUAAUUAAACCGUUCUCGAAUAAAACGGCCAACCUUCGGGUUACGUUUUUUCGAUACAUUGCGGUGAGCCACAAACACUUUUUCUCUAUAACAAAAGAUUGGUUCAAGUGCACGUUGAAUAAACCUCAAGUUGACUAAUUUUUGAACGUUGAUAAAAACGAAACUAGAGUUGUGUGAAAAGCAGGCAGCUGACUCUCAAAUUGUUCACUUACUUGGCGUACGCUUUCUCGAGCAAUCCUGGCCAGAAAUAGUCCGAAUUCUGCGACUGCAGGAAAGCCAGCCGCCCAUGGACAGUGGGCAAACGAUCAUCCACCAAAACCUCAGUCCAUUCGCCGCACCACCAAAGCCGAAAUCGGAAAACUCCAGCGUAUUGGUCUCCAUUAAAAGACUGGUCUGCUGGCACGACUCGGUAGAAGAGUCCUUUAUUUAAAUAUAAAACACCCAAACAGGAGACGAGCCAUCUGUCACCUGUAAAAAGAAGAAACUGAGCUUAUCUUUGCGCUGUUUAUGACCGAGUAGGUGGUAAACAGGUAACUUAAUGACCAGGUUUUUACUGUUAUGGAUUUGGAUAUAGAAAAUGUGAUUCAUUGGACUUCUUUCUAUUGUUCUAUUUCGGAUGGAAAUAUUUAUUUGGCACAAUUAGAGGUGUUAACAAUGAUACAUAGCUAACUGUAGAUGCUCAGACAGGUUCAACAACUGGAAAAACGUAGAGACACUAAAAUUAAUUUCUACAAGUGGAUGGAUACAUCUUAAAUCAUAGUUAUAAGGUGUUUAACGCAAUUAGCAUGCCUAAUAAACAUUAUGACUCACUAACGUGUAAAAA